rnacentral:sRNA from 1 species
GGAUCAUUACACAAUAAAAUACGAAGGCCGUUCGCGGCUGGACUAUUUAUUACCCUUGUCUUUUGCGCACUUGUUGUUUCCUGGGCGGGUUCGCUCGCCACCAGGACCACAAUAUAAACCUUUUUUAUGCAGUUGCAAUCAGCGUCAGUAUAACAAAUGUAAAUCAUUUACAACUUUCAACAACGGAUCUCAUGGUUCUGGCAUCGAUGAAGAACGCAGCGAAAUGCGAUACGUAGUGUGAAUUGCAGAAUUCAGUGAAUCAUCGAAUCUUUGAACGCACAUUGCGCCCUUUGGUAUUCCAAAGGGCAUGCCUGUUCGAGCGUCAUUUGUACCCUCAAGCUUUGCUUGGUGUUGGGCGUUUUUGUCUUUGGCCCGCCAAAGACUCGCCUUAAAAUGAUUGGCAGCCGGCCUACUGGUUUCGCAGCGCAGCACAUUUUUGCGCUUGCAAUCAGCAAAAGAGGACGGCAAUCCAUCAAGACUCCUUCUCACGUUUGACCUCGGAUCAGGUAGGGAUACCCGCUGAACUUAAGCAUAUCAAUAAGCGGAGGAAAAGAAACCAACAGGGAUUGCCCUAGUAACGGCGAGUGAAGCGGCAACAGCUCAAAUUUGAAAUCUGGCUCUUUCAGAGUCCGAGUUGUAAUUUGCAGAGGGCGCUUUGGCUUUGGCAGCGGUCCAAGUUCCUUGGAACAGGACGUCACAGAGGGUGAGAAUCCCGUACGUGGUCGCUAGCUAUUGCCGUGUAAAGCCCCUUCGACGAGUCGAGUUGUUUGGGAAUGCAGCUCUAAAUGGGAGGUAAAUUUCUUCUAAAGCUAAAUAUUGGCCAGAGACCGAUAGCGCACAAGUAGAGUGAUCGAAAGAUGA